AUGAACGCUGGCGGCGUGCCUAAUACAUGCAAGUCGAGCGAACGGACGAGAAGCUUGCUUUUCUGAUGUUAGCGGCGGACGGGUGAGUAACACGUGGAUAACCUACCUAUAAGACUGGGAUAACUUCGGGAAACCGGAGCUAAUACCGGAUAAUAUUUUGAACCGCAUGGUUCAAAAGUGAAAGACGGUCUUGCUGUCACUUAUAGAUGGAUCCGCGCUGCAUUAGCUAGUUGGUAAGGUAACGGCUUACCAAGGCAACGAUGCAUAGCCGACCUGAGAGGGUGAUCCGCCACACUGGAACUGAGACACGGUCCAGACUCCUAAGGGGAGCAAGAAGUGGGGAUCUUUCGGAAUGGGGGGAAAGCUGAACGAAGCAACCCGCGGGGAGUAAGAAGGGCUUCGGGUUGGUAAACCUUUGUUAUAGGGAAGAACAUAUGUGUAAGUAACUGUGCACAUCUUGACGGUACCUAAUCAGAAAGCCACGGCUAACUACGUG
rnacentral:rRNA from 1 species